AUGAACGCUGGCGGCGUGCCUAAUACAUGCAAGUCGCGCGAACGGACGAGAAGCUUGCUUCUCUGAUGUUAGCGGCGGACGGGUGAGUAACACGUGGAUAACCUACCUAUAAGACUGGGAUAACUUCGGGAAACCGGAGCUAAUACCGGAUGAUAUUUUGAACCGCAUGGUUCAAAAGUGAAAGACGGUCUUGCUGUCACUUAUAGAUGAAUCCGCGCUGCAUUAGCUAGUUGGUAAGGUAACGGCUUACCAAGGCAACGAUGCAUAGCCGACCUGAGAGGGUGAUCGGCCACACUGGAACUGAGACACGGUCCAGACUCCUACGGGAGGCAGCAGUAGGGAAUCUUCCGCAAUGGGCGAAAGCCUGACGGAGCAACGCCGCGUGAGUGAUGAAGGUCUUCGGAUCGUAAAACUCUGUUAUUAGGGAAGAACAUAUGUGUAAGUAACUGUGCACAUCUUGACGGUACCUAAUCAGAAAGCCACGGCUAACUACGUG
rnacentral:rRNA from 1 species